AGAUCUCCCCGAGGCCUCGAGCCUCCUGAAGGGCCCAGCGAGACCAGCUGGUUGAUAGGCCGGAUGUGGAAGCGCUGCAAGGCGUUGAGCUAACCGGUACUAAUGGCCCGUGAGGCUUGACCAUA
rnacentral:rRNA from 1 species